CGCGGCCUAUCAGCUUGUUGGUGGGGUGAUGGCCUACCAAGGCGACGACGGGUAGCCGGCCUGAGAGGGUGUCCGGCCACACUGGGACUGAGAUACGGCCCAGACUCCUACGGGAGGCAGCAGUGGGGAAUAUUGCACAAUGGGCGCAAGCCUGAUGCAGCGACGCCGCGUGGGGGAUGACGGCCUUCGGGUUGUAAACCUCUUUCACCAUCGGCGAAGCCGGGAGCUUUUGUUUCUGGUGACGGUAGGUGGAGAAGAAGCACCGGCCAACUACGUGCCAGCAGCCGCGGUAAUACGUAGGGUGCGAGCGUUGUCCGGAAUUACUGGGCGUAAAGAGCUCGUAGGUGGUUUGUCGCGUUGUUCGUGAAAUCUCACGGCUUAACUGUGAGUGUGCGGGCGAUACGGGCAGACUGGAGUACUGCAGGGGAGACUGGAAUUCCUGGUGUAGCGGUGGAAUGCGCAGAUAUCAGGAGGAACACCGGUGGCGAAGGCGGGUCUCUGGGCAGUAACUGACGCUGAGGAGCGAAAGCGUGGGGAGCGAACAGGAUUAGAUACCCUGGUAGUCCACGCCGUAAACGGUGGGUACUAGGUGUGGGUUUCCUUCCUUGGGAUCCGUGCCGUAGCUAACGCAUUAAGUACCCCGC
rnacentral:rRNA from 1 species